UUGUUAAGAUUUAAUAGUUUGUUAUUAGUUUGUUAGAGUUUAUUAGGGUUGAUCCUAUUUUCAAAGUUUGUUAUAGUUGAUUUCUAGAAUUUGUUAGGAUUGAUCCUAUUUUUAAACUUUGAAAAGAUAAAUCAUCAACUUAUAUAAAGACGUUGUCAUGUAGCAUCGAUAAUAAUUAGAAUACAACAUAUUUUCAAGAUAACUUUCGAUUAUUUCUACUUAAAGAUAUCAUUAAAGAUCAUCGUGAACUAUCUCAUGUCCAGUGUUAUGUAACUUUUUGGUGUAAUCCAUCUGCAACGUCUCCCUCUCAAAAUUGAUAGGCAUCCAAAACCCAUAAAUUUGGAGCGGAUUUAUUGAUCCCUCAAAGAAUAUCAAUAUAGUUAUAUUCAUAUAAAUCUUAUGAAAAAUUAGAACCUUACAUAAUUAUAUUCAUAACUAAGAUUAAUUUUGAAAUAUAAAGAAUAUAUUAAGCAUUCACUAUACUCGAUUUAAAGAAACAUAAACAUGCUAAAUAUGCAAUUAUUGCAGAGAAUAUCAAAAUUCUCAUAUCUUUUAAAAGGGAAAGAUAGCUCUGAGUUCAAUACAAAAAUUAAUAUCAAAGAGAAACAUAAACUGAUGGUGGGAAAUAUUCGAAUUUUUUACCCAAAUAUCCCUAAUUUUCAAAAAAAAUCUCAAACUACCCCACUUUUAAGUGGAGGCAUCAAACCAAUUGGCGCCAGCUCCUAAUGUUAUAGAGGAUGCGCCAAUUGGAUUGGCUAGGGCACAUGGUGCAGUCAAUUACACACUAGACACCUCAACAUCUAACCCCCAACAACAUUGUCAGACCGACUACACACAACCCUUUAUCCGUCAAACUUUUUGUUCCACAAACACACAAACAUACAACCCUAACAUGACAUACACCUAACUACAAUACCAAGAGCAUACCCCGUACCACCACCAACAACUAGAUCAUCAACCAGAGACCCAACAUCGCUUCGCACCCAACACAUCACCCUACUAAAGUUGCCUUACCCAAAACACUCAAUGAUCAUUUAAUACCAACCGUCCUUCCUCCUACCAUAGCCAAGAAGCCCAAACAUCUCAAAACUUAAACCUGCAAUAACCCUAUCUCUACCAAAUACCACAACAAUCUUUCCAACCUUUCCUCAACGCAUCAUUCACACCAGUGUCUCCCUUCAAUCGUCCUGAUCGCCCACUAACAAGUCAAACACAACCCAACUACUCUGGCAUGGGUCAUAAACUCAACUAUGGUGGUACACCUUCGAUGCAUAAACAAGACUACGUUGAAUUGUCUGACUAUCUCAACAGGCCAUCUCCUGCAGUUGGUAGUGAUGUUCCUGGGCCCUCAGUUGCUCAAAAACCUGUGGUGAAUCAUCAACGUGAGUUAGGGCCACGUGUUCGGGUAGCUAGGGUAUGUGAGACCGAAGGUCGGUUAGGUGAUCCCGGUCAUCAACAUUAGUCUUUUUUGUGUAAACGGGAAUUUAUAUUAAUAUGAAUUGGUCCGAUUUCGAAAUUAUGCAUCAUGUGGACUAUUUUUGAAAAAAAAUUACAAAAUACAUUGAGGUGUCAAUCCAAUUGGUGCCUCCUCUCUAAGUUUAAGAGUAGACGCCAAUUGGAUUGGUGCCUCCUCCUAAAAGUGGGGUAAAUUGAUUUUUUUUUAAAUCAAGGUUAUUUUGAGAAUUUUUUUCAAAAUAUAGAUUAUUUUAGUAAAAAAUUCGAAAUAUUCUAGACUUAAAAAUAAUAUAAACUAUUAUUAAAUUUAAUUAUUAAAGAUAUUAUAAUAAAUAAUAAGAUUGAAAUGAAGAGGAGAUAUACCUAAAUUGAAGGUCAUAAGGAUAUUUUGAAAUUGAGAGAGAUAGAAGAAGACUAUUUAAAUAAAAUUAAGCAUAGCAACAUCCUCUUUUUGAAAUAAUUAUGAGAUGACAAUACAUUAAGAUAUUAUAAUUCGUAAAAUGUUCUUGGAGAGCCUUUGUAUACUCUCUUGGAUACAAAACUAAAUGCUAAAUUAUAUAUGAACAUAAUCAUUGGGAGAGAUCAGGUAAGUACAUCUACAUCGUUUAUUAUCACACUUUGCCAUCUUUGGUGGGAAGCACCCAUAUGAUGGACAAUCCUCAUCUCUUCUACACGUAGCAACUCCUGUAUUAAAAAAAAAAAUGGGUUAUAUGUAUUACGAAAAAAAAGCAUAAAAGUAAGAAAAAAAUUCAAUAUAAAAAAAAUGUAUUACUUCCAUGGUUAGGUAGCACUAAAAAUAUAGAAAUAAAAAUAAUCAUAAUAUAAACAAAUUUGACAAUUUCCCCCAUAUUUCUUCCCUUGUAUUUAAGAAAUUGUUUUAUAAUUUUCUUUCUUUUAAAGUUCAAACUCUACUUACAUUAUUUACAUUAUUUACAUUUAGUGUCCUUUAUAUAGUUGUAAAAAAUCCUUCAUAAAAGUAGAAUAAUUAUUAAGAAAAACUUCUGAUAC
rnacentral:lncRNA from 1 species